AUCCACACCUCUUCUUCAGGAAUUGCUCCAUCGUGAGUUGUGAGAAAUCCAUUCCUGUGGAAAGAUGAUGGAACAUGAACAUAUGGUCUGUGACUCUGCUAUGGACCUAGUGAAUCACUGUUGACUGUCCAUGGUUCAAGUGAGGAUUGGCAAACCUGGUCAUUUCUUGAUUACCUACAGAAUGCAAUUGCAACAUAUGCAAAAUCUUAUGCAGGAAUGGGGCUAUAGCAGUGAUGGGACACUACCUUUGACUGUGAAGAUCAGACGAUGCAAUUCCCGUUGGUCAGCCCCCACCCCCACCCCAAGGUGCCAUGCACUGCCAGAGAUCUUGAGCCAGGUCUUCAGUGGUUAUCCAUUGAUAAGAAGAACGGAGAUAAUAAAGACAGUGAGUGCUAAGAAUUUGCGUUACUUACUGUUCCAGGCAUCUUGUUGAUUUCGACGUGACCAUCUUCCUAACGCUUCUUCCAAACAAUGAACUGGAGGCUCUUUCCACGAAUGAAUGUUUAGCUGCUUCAAGUGUGAUUCCAGCUUUUUCAAGAGCUUCUUGUUGUUCUACUUCUACUGGCCUUUAUUGUAGUUAACAUGUCCUGUGAAUGUUUUUAGGAGCCCAGUUUUGCUACAAA